rfam:Myotis brandtii contig157772, whole genome shotgun sequence.
GCCAGCAUGGCUCAGUGGUUGAGGAUCUACCUGUGAACCAGAAGGUCGUGGGUUCGAUACCCAUUGGGGCA